CGCCAUACAGAGGAGAGAGAGAGAGGAUUGGAGCUGGCCCACAGGAGUCAGUGGAAAAUCCCAAUGGCACUCCCUCCUGCAAAUUAAAAUUGUGGUGCAAUCCCUCAAAGUUUUCUUGUUGAGGAGGAUGACCAGCAGUUCCGCAGGAGCCUUUACCCUGCCCUGAAACCAUCUAUAAAAUAUGCCACAGAGGAGUGGGAAAGGCAGUAACUGUAACCACGGCUUAGAAAAAGGCUUUUGUUGUUUUACAUCGGCAUGGUGGGCAGAAAAGCAAAUAAGUGAGCUUGCCGCCCUCCUCACUGCAGACCUCCAGGUGGAGCUUCACCAGAUGAAUUUCUGCCUGACAUCUACCAGUUAAAGCUACAGCAACUUUGUCAGCUUGCAAGCAUACUUCUCUGUCAGCAUAAUUGGUCCAAGAAAAAAAGAAGGCUCAUCUGAACCAUUUUCCUUUUCAGGGAGACAGAGAACUGAAUACCAGCCACUCACGUAACAACUUAACAGCUUGGUGUAGCAGCCUGCAGUUUCAGCUUGAGGCAGCUGGGGAAUAGACACAGUGGCUCUCUCUCUCAGUAUCACAUCACUUGUAUUUAAACAUCUUUAUUAAUGGCUUGAAGGAGAUCUUUCCAUUUCUCCCCUUCUCUUCAAAGUGGCCAGUGCAAUUGCAGAUGCUAUCUGGUUUUCUGAAGGCUUUUAAAUAAAAAACAACUCAACACUCUCAGAACCGCUGAUCCUUAAAGAGACACAGGACAGUUGAUAGUGAUGGAAAGAAAAAAAGACGUCCAAGUCUAAUGCUGGACAGACACAGAGAGAGAGGAGCGGGCAGUUGUGCGUUGUUAAUUCUCCAAUUCCAUUUUAAUUUAAGGUCUGAUUCUUUAAAUAGAAAGUCUGUCUCCUUGGCUCAGUGCACUUCCCCUGAAGUCUUCAAGCAUCUGAAGAGUCUGAGAAUAAAAGCAGUAACAGAAUCAAUCUCUGGGGUAUUAGAAGGGUAACAAACCUCCCCAGAGAUCCACAGCUUCUCCCAUCCCCAUUAACUGGAAAUGCUAAUCUGCACAUUUAAAGUGAUCUUCUCUCCAUCUGACAACUGAUAUGUGGAAAAAUUCCUGUAAUGGUAUACCGUAAGCAAGCAAUAGAGGUCUCACCACUUCCCAGGAGGAGGAGUUAAGAAAAUAGAAUGAAGCUUUGGAGGAAAGAGAAAUCAAAGCAUGCCCACUGAAGACAACUGCUCCAAAACGUUGAGUGUAGCUAGUGGACAAAUGCAGUCCAAGGCUUCCUUCAGAUCUGUGUAUGUUCACAUAAGGAGAUUACUAAAUGCAUGCCUCAAAAUACAGAAGUGCUUGAUGGAAAUACAAAGGUGGACAUGUUUGAGAAAAGCUAGUGUAAUCAAAAUGCACAACUAUGGAAGCGCCUUCAAUACAAUCUAUUAACCAGAAUCCCCACAUUUCUAAAACCUGGCCAAGAUCUAAGUUCACAUUGAUGUGGUUAACUUGUGGCUGGGCUCAACUAUUUCAGACUAGAGUUCUAGCCUAGCUUAAUGCCAUAAACGCUAGCUUUCCACGUGGUUGUUCUGUAUGGAGGAUAUUCAACCAUGUGAGCCCCCAUCUGCAUUAUGAAGUCGUACAGCCCAGAAACAGGUUUAACAGCACAGUAGGGGCCAAACUAUGCAUUAUUUGUGAUCAUACCUCCCAACUUGGUUUUUUUAAACAAACAAACAAACUAACUAACUAACUUACAAGUAGGUUACGGGCAUCUGAACUGGACUGGAUGUUGUGUUGUGGGGGGAGGAGGGCAUUUAAUCCAUUCCCAGAUGAAAUGUACCCCCACCAAACUACUAUGGGCCUGGAUGGAGAAAAAAAGACAGAGCCCUGCUUUUUUCCCCCUAGUGGAACUAAUAGCAGAUUCAGGGCAUGGGCAAUUUUGACUGGGCAAAUGGUAUGAAGGGAAAGGGCUCCCACAGCACCACUGCCCUGAUCUAGCUGGCUCCCCCAAUGGCACAGCUGCUUUUAAAGUCUGUUUGUUUAAACCGGAAGAUUCCAUCACAGACCUCCUGCAUAUUAUAUAGUUUGAGCUGAAGAACUAGACCUUAAUGGGGAAGGAGAAUAUCCACCCCUACCUGGCAUACAGAUCUUCUUUGGACCACUAGCUUUGUAUUAUCUCACUUGCCUUUACGUCUCUCAAUGGAAGUUUGACUAGGGAAACUUUAUAGGGAAAUCUCACCACAAAGUAAUAAACCCUUGCAAUUCUUUGGAACUUCAGAGAUGCUACAUCCAUCAUAUGCCACACUGUUUGCACAUGCUGCAGGUCCACACAUGGUUCUGGUGAUUUCACCAUGCCACUGCAAAACCUGUCUUUUUUGCCGUUUGCAAUGACACAGUGAAAAUCACAAGGACUCUUUAAAGGAACUUUCCCUCCAUCAUCUAGUUCUUCUGAGUUCUGUGAUGGCACCAUAAAUCCAUUUUCAAACUGGCUUAUCACAUAUGGGCAAAGCGGUCCAGUUGCUCAGAGCAACGUCUGAUGUUACAGAAGUGCCAUCAACUGACUGUGGAUGCACUGAACUGCAAUUCUUGUCAUGUUUGAAGGGAAGCUUGCAAAGGCUGCAUUCUGCAUCCACAGCCUAUUUAAGUCCCUCAUCCAGUAUCAGAAUAAAUUCUACUGCAGGAAUGCAGAAAUGACUGCCCGUUCCACUUGUGGCACUACUUUGGUAGCAGCCAAAGCCACCAUCUUUCAGGUAAG